AACACUGGCGGAGCCCCAGGUGGCGACGCGGGCGGCGAGAGCUGCUCCGAGGCGGGGGCCUCGGGCAGGUCGCUCUCCACGCAGUACACGGAGCAGAAGACUUGUCUCUUGGCGAGGGACGGGCGCCGCUGACCCAGCACGUCCAGGACCAGUCCGUCGGCGGCCCCCACGCGGGUCCUGGGCUCCAGCUCUUCGCCGGGGGGCGCCUCCUGCUGUUCAUCCCCUCCCUCUUUUCGAUCCCCAGCUUCCUCCUCUUCCUCCUCCAGCUCCAACUGCAGUGGCAAGGUCUGGGGAUUGAGAGGCCCGGCAUGACUAAGAGAUAUCGUGAAAUUACAACUCAACAAUGAAUUACAGCACAGGCUUUUCACAACUAAGAGACUGUCCAUCAUGGUGCCAGUUUUUCUCAAAAUGGCAUGUGUGCAUGAAAUUCUACAGGCAUAUGGGGUCGUGAUCUGCUAAUCUCCAGUUAUUAUAACUACUUUGAAAAGGGACUUUCCAGCUAUCAGUACACUAUCUCACAAUUACCCUUGAACCAGAAGACAAUGAAUGAUUUGCUAAACAGAUGGCAUAGUCUAUGACAUGCAUCAUAUGUGUGAGCAAUCACAGAAGACCAAAUUAUGAUUGUAUGUCCCAGAAAUUCACUUAGAAGCUAAUAGAAAAAAUGAAACCAAAGCCUUUUGAGAGUUGAAAAUUUAUCAUGACAUAUGCUGGCUGCACAGUCAAAACUUAUCACUGCCCACGACUUCGGAAGCAUGACAGGAGAGCUGUGGGAGCCACUUCCUCGUCAGACGUGGUUUGAUAUGUCAAGUGAGAACCUGAGUAAAGCAAAGAGGUGAACUAUGACUUGGAAUCCUCCAGGCUUUGGCUUCCAUCACACUCCAUGAACUUGAUGCACAUAAUUUAAUAAACUGCUGAUGCUGACCUGUGCCUCAAGAGGCUUGCCUGUUUGGGGGAGAAGCCUGAUGUGGAGACCAUUGGAAGAGGCUAAGGCAAGCUACCUGUUCCUUAAACAGAUUGUUCAACCUAUUCCAGUUUUUGGUCCUCUACCUCACACAUUCCUUCCACUUCCAAAUCCUGUUGUUAGAGGAUGUUACCUGCCAAAUUUGUACUUUGGAAUCCUCCUCUGCAUGUUCAUAAGUUUUUGGGUUUUCCUUUCUGCUCACUUGCCAAUCCUCUAUCUACUUUCAAUCUUCUAAAAAUUGCUGAAACUUCUUGUCUCACUGUUAAUUCUUUAACAUCAAUUUGUUGGUAUUUUAGGAUAAAAUAUAAGUAAGUGUAUAUCUUCAACCAGCUAUCAUUAAAUGGAAAAUUUCUGGUAUUAUUUUA
rnacentral:lncRNA from 1 species